rnacentral:tRNA from 1 species
GCACUGAUGGCGGAAUGGCAGACGCGUUGGAUUUAGGUUCCAAUGCCGCAAGGCGUGCAGGUUCAAGUCCUGUUCAGUGCACCA